UUAAUUGAAACCAAAAAGAGGUAUGUCACUGUUAAUGACAUCAAUAAGAUUCAAUCUUCAAUUAAA
rnacentral:tRNA from 1 species